CUUGUUUUUUUAAAAAGACUAACCAGCUGGAGCAGACAGAAACCCAAACACUUGGAAAGGAAAGAAACAGACAUGAGUAUGCUGAUCUCUUUUUUCCUGGGUUGUUUCUUCUCAUCCCCUCUUGCAGCACAUAACAGGGAUAGAAGAUUCAUCACAGACAGAAGCUCAUAUGACAAUUUUCCACCCCUGGGGCUCCAAUGAGGGAGCGAAUUCACCCCAAAAAAUGAGAAUUAGGAUGCAGACCUGUAAACAAUAGCUCUCCUUCCUCUCCUGUGACCGAGACACAGGGCACAGAAAGACAUGCAGGCUCACACACACAUAAGCAUCCUGUAUAGACCCACAGUGGCACGCAUGUAGCAACGGACUGACACAGGUAUAUAAUCACACGUGUGUAUGUGUGUGAUAACGCGCGCGGGAGGCAGGAUUCCGGAGGCGGCAUCACACGGACGCCGGAGAGAAUUGGAGAAAAUACAGAAAAGCUAGCUUGUGUGGAGAGAAGUACCAAGAGGCAAGAGCGCUGCUGUGACAGGCCCCCCUCCAAGCCUGCAGUAGGAGUAGUGCAGGAUUCUGUGGACUUCGCAGCAAACAAUCCAUCCUGGGAAAAUGGGUCAGACGUUUCCAGAGCAAGAAAUGGAUCCCUUCUUCAGGUCUCAUUCUCUCCUUCCCUUGCUCCAUCCUACGCCUUAUCUUCAAUGCCUCUCCAGAGUCAUCUGUGUUCCUGCUUUUUUUUAACUGCCCUCCCUCUUGCUUACUUUUGGUUCUGCCCCUGCACAUCCUGGCUGCAAGCAAUGAAAAUACAGGUGAAUAAGAGAUAAAAUCAUUUGACUGCACAAAAUUACAAAUCUUUGUGCUGCAAAUGAUACCAUCAAGAAAGGGAAGACAACCCACAGAAUGAAAGAAAAUAUUUGCAAAUCAUAUACCUAGCAAAGGACUGUAUCUAGAAUCUAUAAAGAACUCUUGCAUUUCAAUAAUAAAAAGGCAAAAACUUGAUUACAAAAUGGGCAAAAGAUCUGAACAGAUCUUCUGACCAAAGGAGAUAUACAGGCAGCAAGUAAGCAUAUUAAAAAGAUGUCCAACAUCAUAUGUCAUUACAGAACUGCAAAUUAAAAAUGAGGCGCUGGGCCUGGGAUUUAGCUCAGCGGUGCUGCUGCCUGCCUUGCAAGUGCAAGGACCUAGGUUUGAUCCCAGGUACCAAAACAAACAAACAAAAAAAAAGUGAGGUACUAUUACACACCUUUCUGGAAUAGCCA
rnacentral:lncRNA from 1 species